UGAGCAAUCUGCCCUUCUCAUCGGAAUAAGCGUUGGAAACGACGUCUAAUGCCGAAUACGACCUCCUUUCGCAUGAUCGGAGGUGGAAAGCUCCGGCGGAGAAGGAUGAGCUCGCGGCCUAUCAGCUAGUUGGUGUGGGUAAUGGCCCACCAAGGCGACGACGGGUAGCUGGU
rnacentral:rRNA from 1 species